rnacentral:rRNA from 1 species
UACGAAGGUGGCAAGCGUUGUUCGGAUUUACUGGGCGUAAAGGGAGCGUAGGUGGUUAGGUAAGCCCUCCGGGAAAUCUUCAGGCUCAACCUGAAAAGGUCGGGGGGGACUGCCUAGCUAGAGGGCGGGAGAGGAGCGCGGAAUUCCAGGUGUAGCGGUGAAAUGCGUAGAUAUCUGGAGGAACACCGGUGGCGAAGGCGGCAUCCUGGACCGGCAUUGACGCUGAGGCGCGAAAGCCAGGGGAGCAAACGGG